GACGAACGCUGGCGGCGUGCUUAACACAUGCAAGUCGAACGGAAAGGCCUUUUCGGAGGUACUCGAGUGGCGAACGGGUGAGUAACACGUGGGUGAUCUGCCCUGCACUCUGGGAUAAGCCUGGGAAACUGGGUCUAAUACCGGAUAGGACCGCACUUUAGUGUGUGUGGUGGAACGUUUUUUCGGUGUAGGAUGAGCCCGCGGCCUAUCAGCUUGUUGGUGGGGUAAUGGCCUACCAAGGCGGCGACGGGUAGCCGGACUGGGAGGUUGGUCGGCCACAUUGGGACUGAGAUACGGCCCAGACUCCUACGGGAGGCAGCAGUGGGGAAUAUUGCACAAUGGGCGCAAGCCUGAUGCAGCGACGCCGCGUGGGGGAUGACGGCCUUCGGGUUGUAAACUCCUUUCGCCAGGGACGAAGCGUUUUGUGACGGUACCUGGAGAAGAAGCACCGGCUAACUACGUG
rnacentral:rRNA from 1 species